rnacentral:rRNA from 1 species
AAAACGCUGGGGAAGGGCCUAACACAUGCAAGUCGAACGGGAUCUCCGGAUCUAGUGGCGGACGGGUUAGUACUAGGAACGUACCUUUUCUACGGAAUAGCUCGUGGAAACUGAGAGUAUACCGUAUACGCCCUUCGGGGGAAAGAUUUAUCGGAGAAUGAUCUGGCCGCGUAAGAUUAGAUAGUUGGUGGGGUAAUGGCCUACCAAGUCUACGAUCUUUAGCUGGUUUGAGAGGAUGAUCAGCAACACUGGUGACUGAGACACGGCCAGACUCCUACGGGAGGCAGCAGUGGGGAAUCUUAGACAAUGGGGGAAACCCUGAUCUAGCCAUGCCGCGUGAGUGACGAAGCCUUAGGGUCGUAAAGCUCUUUCGCUGGGGAAGAUAAUGACUGUACCCAGUAAAGAAACCCCGGUAACUCCGUGCCAGCAGCCGCGGUAAUACGGAGGGGGUUAGCGUUGUUCGGAAUUACUGGGCGUAAAGCGCGCGUAGCGGACUGGAAAGUUUGGGGGUGAAAUCCCGGGGCUCAA